rnacentral:tRNA from 1 species
UGUUUGGCAACUCAGCGGUAGAGUCCCGACAGGGUCGGGAUUAACCACUUGGUCGCAGGUUCAAAUCCUGCCCGAGCAGCCA